UACGUAGGUGGCAAGCGUUGUCCGGAAUUAUUGGGCGUAAAGCGCGCGCAGGCGGUCCUUUAAGUCUGAUGUGAAAGCCCACGGCUCAACCGUGGAGGGUCAUUGGAAACUGGGGGACUUGAGUGCAGAAGAGGAGAGUGGAAUUCCACGUGUAGCGGUGAAAUGCGUAGAGAUGUGGAGGAACACCAGUGGCGAAGGCGACUCUCUGGUCUGUAACUGACGCUGAGGCGCGAAAGCGUGGGGAGCAAA
rnacentral:rRNA from 1 species